rnacentral:tRNA from 1 species
GGUCGGUUAGCUCAGUUGGUUAGAGCGUGGUACUAAUAUGUCAUAUGACAUGUAUGGUAAUGCCAAGGCUGGGAGUUCAAGCCUCCCACUGAUCA